rnacentral:misc_RNA from 1 species
AGCGCGGACCAGCCUGUCGAGGUCAAGCGCUGGCAGUGGCCGCCUCACUCCCCUUAUCGCACCGCUGAGGAUGAGCGGAAGAGAGCGACUCACAGGUGUGCCCUUCCCCCCUAUCGUCUCUGUGUUUGUUUGCUCACGUGUGCGUGGGCGUGUGCAUCCGCUCUCUGUGCCACUUCGUCGACUCUUUCGUCUCGUCGAAUCGCGCAGUCAUGAGCGCGUUUAUGGCCGAGGCGCCGAUGAUGUUGUACUAUCAGCGGUGCGAUGCACCAGGCGCCCCCAGCAACCCCACCCGUGCCUCAGCGCGCAGUGUCUCCAUGAAGGUUCCACCAGCGCUGACUCCAAAGCCGAAGCCGAAGGAGCUGCACUUCCCUGCGGUGGAUCCUUCCCUCUACAUGCGCCGUCGCAACCCGUCCGGGGAGGCGCUUGGCACGUUUCGGCGGCGGCACUUGUUUUGCCUCAAGCUUUACUUUAGCACGGAUUUUCGUAUUGGCGCCAUUCCCAUGUGCAUUACCGUCGUUUUGAUCAUCGCAAACAUGGCGCUGGUGUGGCACCAAGUUGGCUGGCGCGAGUACAUUUUUACACUCUUGAUGCUGGCAACCACCUUCACGUCGCACUUCCUGACCACCUCGAUCGACCCUGGCAUCUAUCCACGCCUGCGGCGCGGCGAAAAGGACCCACUAGAGGGCAACGUGCAGCUUGUCUUUUGCAGAGAGUGCCAGCUGCGUCGUCCUCCUCGGUGCGCCCACUGCUAUCAAUGUAACGUAUGCGUGCUGGAGCACGACCACCACUGCAGUGUUCUUGGUGGCUGCGUCGGAGUGCGCAACCUGCGCUGGUUCACGUUGUAUCUCCUCUCGUGCUGCUCGUCUACGAUGAUCGGUGUUGUCUGGCUGUCGCGUUAUCUUUUCUACGACCUGUUCACGCCUGAUUAUGAGGAAAACCAGACAGGUCUGAAAGUGCUGCAGACGCCGUACCCAACCAUGCAAGGCGGCCGACGGAGCUUCGCACCCGACGAGCACACCGGCUCUCACCUCGCUGCAAUUCUUGUGCUGCUGCUGGAUGGAAUCGUCGUGAUACUGGUGGGGGCGAUGUUGUGCAUCUACGUUUACCUCACGCUGUCCUCGACCACACGGCGGGAGUCGAUGAGAAAGCAAAACUCACUCCAUGUGCUGCUGCAGCCGCGAAGAGUGUGGCAAAACUUCAAAAAAGUGCUCAGCCCGCCUCCGUCGUUGCUCGACUCCGACGACCACGCCGAUGAGGAGGUGACGAGUCUCAUCUGAUACAGAGAUUGUGAGCGGUGGGUGGAAACGGUACGCCCCACCCCCUCUGUGGGGCCGAGUUGCGGCACACCUGCGGCAAAGUUGGGGACUGCGCCAAGGACGAUGCGCAGAUGCGCUGAAAAGGAUGCGGCCGUGAAGGGAUGCCCUUCUCGCUCUCACGGACGCUUUUCUCGUGGCAUCUGAGAGUGAAGUGGGGUGCUGGUAGAGGGUCCCUCAGGCUUGUGCAUGUGUUUCUUCCCCGCGCAUGCCUCGUUGUAGCACUGAGCAACUGCCGUACCAGCAGGGUAGGGCACGUGUGCCUCCUCACCGUCGCUUUUUUUCCCCUCUGCUCCCUUGCCGAGAGAAGAAGAGGAGCAGAUUAGUAAUG